GGGAAUGUGGCUUAGUGGUAGAGUGCCUGCCUAACAUGCAUGAAGGCCUGAGUUUCAUUCCUCAGCACCA
rnacentral:tRNA from 1 species